rnacentral:lncRNA from 1 species
AGAAAAUUGCAUAUCUACAGAAAGUACAGUUGACGCUCAUUAUCUGGGAUUUGUAUUUUCAAAUUCACUUAACUCGGUAAGAUGUUUUUCUCGUAAGCCCCAAAUCAAUAAUGCGCGCUUUCUGGGGUUACUCCCGGGCAUGCGCAGGGGGAACUUUUGGAGUCUGCAGGGAUUUAAGUUUCCAGCUGUGAUUGAACCAGGCGGAGGCUCCAACUUCUUGGUUCAGCUCUCCCUGCUGUAAACAAGAGUCGUUUUCGCAGAUCUAUCCAGUGCCACUUUUUACUGCAUUUUUGUGCUUUUAUUGGUCUUUGCGGUUUAAAAUGGCCCCAAAAGGUAGUGCCGAAGUGCUGUAGGGUGUUCCCAAGCGCAAGAAGGCUGUGAUGUGCCUUGUGGAGAAAAUACGGGUGUUAGACAAGCUCCGAUCGGGCAUGAGUUACAGUGCCGUUGGCCGUGAGUUCAAGGUUAAUGAAUCAACCAUCCGGUAUAUCAAGAAAAAGGAGAAGGAAAUUCGCUGGUCUGUACGUGAGGCCGCUCCAGAAAGCGCUAGAUUGACCUCUGUAGUGCGUGAUGAAGCCAUGGAAAAGAUGGAAAAGCGGCUUAAUUUGUGGAUUCAUGAGAUGACUACCGACAAAAAAAGCAUAAUGGCAGCAUUGUUGUGAGACUGAAAGCCAAAGAAAUCUACUGUCACGUUACCCAGGGUCAGAAAUGUGAAGCCCUUCUCGGCCAGCGCCUGCUGGCUCGCCCGGUUCAAACGGCGCUACGGGGUGAAAAAUGUUACCCUCGCAGGAGAAGCAGACCUGAAAGCUGCGGAAGAAUUUAAGAAAUACUUGCUAAGUGUUAUACAGGAGAAGGGUUAUGUGGAAGAGCAGGUUUUCAAUGCCAGUGAGACCGACUUGUUUUACAAGGAUGUUGGAAAAGGAACCUAUGUAACGCAAAUGGCCUCUAGAGCCUCUGGCUUUAAGUCAUUCCAAGACCAUGCAACCUUGCUAUUGUGCACCAAUGCCAAGGGUGACUUUAAGUGCAAACCCUUAAUGGUGUACAGAGCCCAAAAUCCACAAGCACUUAAAGGGGAAAACGUGAACCCUAUGCCAGAACAUUGGAGGUGGAACAAAAAAGCGUGGAUGAUGUCUGAUUGGUUCCAUAAUUACUUCAUUCCAGAAGUUGAACACUAUCUCCAGGGCAGAAACCUUGCUUUCAAGAUUUUAUUAAUUUUGGAUAAUGCUCCAGUCCACUGCCAUGAAGAAGUUGAAAACGCACACCCCAAAGUAGAAGUUCUUUUUAUGCCUCCAAACACUACAUCUUUCAUCCAACCCCUUAAUCAGGGUAUAAUAAAAGCUUUCAAAGCACAUUAUACUAGAGAGUUUUACACAAAGGCUUGGGAGACUCUCAAGGCCAAUAAGGAAACCACCAUGAUGGACUAUUGGAAGUCAGUCACUAUACGCAACGUAUUGAUUAUGUUGGCACAGCCUGGGACAGCAUCAAGCCAGCUUCUAUCAAUAACUGUUGGAAAAAUGUUUGGCCUGACUGUGUGGAAAAUUUCGAAGGCUUUGAAGGUAUUACAGAAAAUAUAAUGAACAGUGUCCUAAACAUAAUGCACAUUGCACAGCAGAUAAGCGGAGAAGGCUUUGAGGACAUGAAGGAAGAAGAUGUGGAGGAACUUUUUGCAGAGAAGACAGUAGAAUCCACCAAUGAAGACCUGGAUGAGAUGGCUAAACAAGGCACCAGAGUCAGUGAGGAUGAGGAUGGCAACAGCAGUCAGCCCAAGACUCCAAGAAUUCUCCCUCUCACAGCAGCCAAAAUAACAGAAUGGAAUUCUGCCUUGGAAAAAAAAUUUUAAUGACAUGGAGGAGUGUGACCCUCUGCUUGAUCGCAGCCUCAAAUUCAAGCACCUUGCCUCCACUGCAUUUGCCCCAUAUACUGAGAUACUUAAAGAAAUGAGGCAGAGAGCCAAUCAGACAAAGCUGAUGCAAUUGUUCAAGCCCAAUGGGGAGGGACACCUGCCCACCCCGUCGACAAGUGGCGAUAGCCCAACUCCUAAGGUAGAACUGCCAGAUGUCAAAAUGCCACUCUCUUCCUCUUCUGCAGAAUAAUUCCACCCAACUCUCCCUUGGUUUUCAUGGAUCAAGCCAAGGUUGAGGUUUACACACCAUCCACUGCCCCUCCACAUCCUGCAGUCCAUUAACAGUAAGCUUUUAAUGUUUUUUAAAACUUUAAAUGUUUAAUCUUUUAAUUUUUUCAGGACGUUAUUGUAUUACUGUACUGUACAGUGUGUGUUCACAGUGUACAGUGUGUCAGACUGUUUUCUGUACUAUAUGUACUAUAUGUACUGUAUGUGUAUGACUAUAAAAAAGUAGUACAAUUUCAGUACAGAAAAGUACAUUGUACCAAAAUGCUGUAAUUGAGAUGUUGUAAAGAAAUACUGUGUAUAAUUAUGUGCAAAAGUAUAUGUAUUAAAUAAGGUGUCUUUGGAUAGAAACACACAUAAAACAAGGUUACAUGAUGGUCAUUUGACAAAGGUGUUGUGACCAGCAGCUCAUAGGAGUCUAAAACCCUGGAGGAGAGGUUAUUAGAGACAACAGUAUAAAUGUAACUACUGUCAAUAACUAGAAUCCACUAUAUUCUAGAAUGCAGACAUCCACAUGGAUCUUUCUUUCAAGUUGAUCCAUAUUAUAAUACAAACAUAUAAUCUUUAUUUUUUUCAGAUGAAACAUUUUAAUUAUAAUCUAAUUUGGGGACAAAGUAAUCAGAAUCAAAUGCAGGUGAGACAUUGAUGACUGCCAUGCUGUUUGUUCCAUACUUUCUAAAAAUUGAGGGUUUUUUUCCAACUGAAAGUUGCUUCUCACUGAUACUCUGGACUGGACUGGAUCUAUGUCAUCCAGUCCUUGAGUUAUCUAAAUCAGGGAAUAGAUUAGACAUGUGAGUAGAGACAUUACAGAAGGCUCUAUACUAGCAAACUUAUGUAUCAAAAAACACUAUCUCCUUUAAGUGUACAACUAUUUUCAUAUAUAUUCAAAGACAUGAGCAAUCACCAUCAAAUCAAUUUUAGAAUAAUUUUAUCACCCCAAAAAGAAACCCGGCACUCAUUAAUCAUUCCCGUUUUACCUGAUCAUCACAUCUGAACAUUCCCUGUAAACAGACUCAUAUAAUGUGUGACUGGUUUCUUUCACUUUGAGCCACAUCCCUAGCCCUUUUUUUUGAGAUACGGUCUCUCACCAGGUUGCUUACAGCCUCGCUAAAUUGCUGAGGAUGGCAUUGAACCUGCAAUCCUGCCUCAGCCUCCCUAGCUGCUGGGAUUAUAGGCAGGUGCCACUACACCUGGCUCUUAGAACCUGACAUUUUCAAAGCUCACCUAGAAGUGUCAGUCAUGAAGCUUUACCUUUUGAGGAAUUGCCAAACUGUUUUCCAAAACAGUUGCACCACUUGAUAUUCAUGAGAUCCCAGUUUCUCCACACCCUUACCAACACCUUGUGUUUUUGACUGCAGGGUAUGCAGUGGCAACUGAGUUUUGUUUUUGGCUUGGAUCUCACUAACUGUAACUCAAAACCCUUUUUCCAGUUGCCAGAUCACUGGGAUUACAGGCACCUACCAAAGCCCUGGUUUCUCAAUGUAGUUCUUUUUGGAAACUGAAAAUUCCUCCCCUGCUGUGUCCUGAAUACCCAUAAUUUCAGGGGCUUCUGGUCGAACUAUGUGCAUAUCCUCUGCUCUGCACUCUAGCUGGCUACUAGAAUCAUCCUGUUUCUUGAACUGAGUGGCAGUCACAUAACUUUUAUAUAUAUAUAAAAUAUCAGGUUAUACAUUUAAGGUUUUUGUACUCUAUUGCCUGUUAAACCUCAAUUUUAAAAAAUUACAAUGAAUAGGCAGUCCCCUGCCAGACAAUGUACAUCUACAGUGUCAGCAACUGUAGCAGUCAUUUUAUGACCAUGAGGUAAACUACCCAAAUUGGAAUAAUCCAACUUGCUGAAAAUGGCAGAACAGAAAUCUGAUUUAUUAUGUCACCAAGGUCAUUAAAUUAGCCUAAUUUGGAGUUUUUCUUCAGGUAGAUUUAGUGUUGAAAUUAUUAGCUUUUCACACAUUACAUCAAUAUUCAUCCAUCUCAGCACAGA